rnacentral:rRNA from 1 species
UCACAGGGGGAUAACACAGCGAAAGCUUGUACAUAAUACCGCAUAAGACCACAACGGGACAUCCCGAAGGGGUCAAAGGAGCAAUCCGGUGAAGGGUGGGCUCGCGUCCGAUUAGAUAGUUGGUGAGGUAACGGCCCACCAAGUCGACGAUCGGUAGCCGACCUGAGAGGGUGAUCGGCCACAUUGGGACUGAGACACGGCCCAAACUCCUACGGGAGGCAGCAGUGGGGAAUAUUGGGCAAUGGGGGAAACCCUGACCCAGCAACGCCGCGUGAGGGAAGAAGGUUUUCGGAUCGUAAACCUCUGUCCUUGGUGAAGAGUGAGAGACGGUAGCCAAGGAGGAAGCCCCGGCUAACUACGUGCCAGCAGCCGCGGUAAUACGUAGGGGGCGAGCGUUGUCCGGAAUGAUUGGGCGUAAAGGGCGCGUAGGCGGCCCGGUAAGUCUGGAGUGAAAGUCCUGUUUUUAAGAUGGGAAUUGCUUUGGAUACUGUCGGGCUUGAGUGCAGGAGAGGUAAGUGGAAUUCCCAGUGUAGCGGUGAAAUGCGUAGAGAUUGGGAGGAACACCAGUGGCGAAGGCGACUUACUGGACUGUAACUGACGCUGAGGCGCGAAAGUGUGGGGAGCAAACAGGAUUAGAUACCCUGGUAGUCCACACUGUAAACGAUGAAUGCUAGGUGUAGGGGGUAUCGACCCCUUCUGU